UGCUGACAUCCUCCCACACGUUACCUUGUAUGGUUACAAGCUGCUGAUCCUCCACACGGUUACCUUGUAUGGUUACAGCUGCUGUGACGUCCUCCACACGGUUACCUUGUAUGGUUACAGCUGCUGACAUCCUCCACACGGUUACCUUGUAUGGUUACAGCUGCUGUGACGUCCUCCACACGGUUACCUUGUAUGGUUACAGCUGCUGUGACGUCCUCCACACGGUUAUCUUGUAUGGUUACAGCUGCUGUGACGUCCUCCACACGGUUAUCUUGUAUGGUUACAGCUGCUGACAUUGCUGCAGGGAGGGCCAGUCAAUGAGCUGGCACCAAGUAUCACAGCCAGGUGAUUUCCAUUGGUUCUGAAAAUGUUUUUCCUCGCUCCCCCCUGGUUAUGACAUUCACAAUAAAGCAUGUCUGGUUGAAGAGAAGCGGUGGAGGCUUUCUGAAGACCAAAACAAAAAUAAAUACUCCUACAUGCAUGUAAUUGAAUGGUACACUGGAAUGGGAACCAAUGCGCUAUACACACCAAGUCCAAAUGUCAAAUUUAGUACUUUUCAAUGCAGGUUUGUGCACGUGUUAAUUAACAAGGGUGUUUGGUUAGUCCAGUGAUUUGUCAUUAGAUUUGGACCACUAUGUUUUUGCUAAUCAUCGAUUGUAGUUCCCAAAAGCCUCGUGGAAAUGUUAAUGCCCUAUGUUUCAGCUAUGUAACAUGAAUAAAAAUGAAAUUUUAUAAACCCAUCUCGAGAUAGGAUCUUUCUUAAAGGGAAUUUAGGCUUGUGCUGUUUCUUUUUAAUGUGUGCUGCUUUCAACCCUUUAUCAAAUUGUAUAGAAAACGAUUUGCUGACACGGCUAGAUAUAUAACCCAGGACCAGCGUUCAUGUAGGAAAACACCACAAUAUUGUGGGGGGGGGGGGCAAAUAUCACGUGAUUGAUUAAUUUUUAGAAGAGUAAAGACACCCAUUCCAAUAGUGGAAAGGAGAACAUCUGCAGGCUAUAGACCUACCGCAUUUAAAUUAAUGAGUAUGGUAUGCAGUUAUUCCCUGUCCUAAAUGUCUACCAUUAGUAUAAUUUUGUUCAAUAUGAAAUAUUUGUACAAAAAAAUAUAUAGUUUUCUCAGAUGCAGCGCAUGUUGCUUUUUUUCCUUUUACGUUUUUAUUAAUCUUCCGGGUGUAGAAAGCAG
ensembl:lncRNA